UCAAAUAUCUGCCUAUCAACUUUCGAUGGUAGGAUAGAGGCUACAUGGGUUUUGACGGGUAACGGGGAAUAAGGGUUCGAUUCCGGAGAGGGAGCCUGAGAAACGGUACCACAUCCACGGAAGGCAGCAGGCGCGCAAAUUACCCAAUCCCGACACGGGGAGGUAGUGACAAUAAAUAACAAUAUAGGGCCCUUUUGGGUCUUAUAAUUGGAAUGAGUACAAUUUAAAUCCGUUAACGAGGAACAAUUGGAGGGCAAGUCUGGUGCCAGCAGCCGGGUAAUUCCAGCUCCAAUAGCGUAUAUUAAAGUUGUUGCAGUUAAAAAGCUCGUAGUUGAACUUCAGACCUGACCGGGCGGUCCGCCUAACGGUGUGUACUGUCUGGCCGGGCCUUACCUCUUGGUGAGCCGGAUGCCCUUCACUGGGGUGUGUACGGGGAACCCAGGACCUUUACCUUGAGGAAACAUUAGAGUUGUUCCAAAAGGCAGGGCUUACGGCCCGGGAAUACAUUAGCAUGGAAUAAUAACAUAGGACGUGCGGUUCUAAUGGAGGGGACUAGAGUCGCGGAAUGCUUAAUAGGGAUAGUUGGGGGCCAUUCUGUAUUGCGUGCUAGAGGUGAAACUUCUUGGGAUUACGCAAGAACAAACAUAAUGGGAAAGCAUUAUGCCAGGGAUGUUUUCAUUGAAGUCCAGGAAACGAAGGGUUA
rnacentral:rRNA from 1 species